CUGAGAUGGAAAUUGAGGUGAAUUUGAUGUGUUUCUAGAUCAACAUUUUUGGCCUAAUUUAUGGAAAUUUAGUUUCAACUCUUUAGUGAUAAUAAAAACACCUGAGAUGAGACUAUAGCCCAAACCCAUGUUAUUACUAGGUGUCUGCAAACAUUACCUUAUGGUUAUAUGCUAUAGUGCCUAAUUUAUUUUUACACACUGUAUUCAUAAUAAAAAGUUGACCUUUUGGUUAAGC